AGGGUCCUACCUGCCAAAAUAUGCUAUUUUUCCAGUGCAUACUGUAUAUCUAUGUCACCGCCAAUCACCAAAAGCCACUUGCACUCUCUCUCUCUCUCUCUCUCUCGUUUUAGGCUUCUACCUCCCAAGGUUUCAUCCCAGCAACUAUCGGGCGUGGGGGAAAAAUGGUGGCCAGUAAGAAACCAACUUCAAAGGGCUUCUAGCAUAUGGACUUAUCAAACUGAUCAUUAUAUAACUUGGAGAAGCUUUUGAUAGUGAGGUUGGCAAGUUGAAGUGCGUUCGAGUGAGUAUGAAAAUAACACUGUAAUUUUGGUUUUAAAGAUGGAUGUAAUAGGAAGAGUAGGAUUGGAUGAUCCAGCCUUUAUCAUUACACUGAGUAGAGAAAUUGCUUCUAUGCUUAAGGCUGCUGCUGGGGUUUCUGGCUCAUUAAACAGGGAAUUUGAGGUUCAAAACACUGGCACUGCGUUUUAAGCAAAAUGGUAGGAGAACAAACUGAGAGAACUGGUGGAGGAAGUGAUUGUUUGGAAAAUGUUUCAAAUCUAAUAGGAUAUAAAUAUGAGUGUAGAGAUAUGGUAAGGGGGAGGGUUGAAUCUUACCCUUAUGGGUCGUAACAGGUAUUCAAUUAGGCAAUUUUUGUGUCUUAUGUGCAAAAGCGAAGAUAAUGGUCAUGACUUGGUUGCAGUUUUUUGGGGAUAGUAGCUAUGGAAGGCUUGAUCAGUGCAUUUUCUCCCAUUUGAUCAUUGUUAAAUCGAGAAACCAAAGCAAACAGAUGCAACCGCUUUUGUGAAUGCUGUUCAAUUGAUCUAUGUGGACAUGAGCCUAGUGGGUGCUAUAAAAUUAUGCAAAUUAAGAGAUCUAAAGCUGGGUCAGUCAGUUGAGAUGCUCAAUUUUCUAAGCAGUUGGAAGUAAUGCCAUGUAAGAAUUUUCAAAGAGUGUUCAAAUAUGUGGCUAUAGUUCCUGAGAACCAAAUUUAAAAACUGCAUAUCUCUGCUGAAUAGGAAUUAAAGUAACAUGCGAUUCACUGAAUAGAAAGGUUUAGUUCUUAUAGGCACUAAAGCAAAAAUUUCCUCAUCAGAAAGCUACUCGAUGUAUAUCACUAGGUUUGACAAGGACUAUUAAAGUUUUACAUCGAUAGGUACUGAUAACAUAACUGGCUCUUGCUGUAUAGGAAUAUGAGAUUAUGAAACUAAGAAGGAAAAAGAAAAAAAAAAAAAAUCCAAAGUAGAACUUUAGAUUAGCUCCAGUAUUUUGGUAGGUGCAAUGGCUUAAUGAAAUGGCAGAAGUGCAAGGCAUCAUUUUGGUCCUUCCAAACUCGUACAAAACUUGGAAGUCACUGAUAAUAAGUGUAACGUAAUUCCAAAAGCAUUUGCCUAAUAUGAUACAGAGAAAAUAUCGACAUAUUUAGUGUUUUGAAAAUUCUAGUUCAAUGCAGAUGUACAUUGGCUUGAGGUGAUUGUUUAUUUAACUUUAUCCUGCCAAGUCAAAAUAAUCCCCAAAUUGAGAGGGGAUGCAGGGUGCACUCCAAAAGCUCCAGUAUGUGUCUCAGCUGGAGAUGAGAGGGUACUUUAUCCUGCUGAGGCAAAACCAUAUUUGAAUUGACGGGGCACGGUGGGUGUGUUGUGAAUGCCACUACAUAUACCCUUCACAGCUUCCUUGAGCAAAAUAUCUAUAGGUCCUAGAAUAGUCAAGAUCAACAUUAGGGAGCCAAAACACUGUGAAGAAAAAGAUGAACUGGAUGUUUUGAGAGUCCAUUAUGGUAGUCAGACGCAAGAAAGCUUUUUAAGUUCAUCAUAUGAGAUGAUGUGAAAGCAUCUCUUGUAGCUAGAAAGUCUUGCAACAAAACAGAUGCAGUCUUUCACAAGAAAACAGAGUUUCUGUGCAAAGGAGAAAUAAAUUAAACUUCUGGCUGUAUGAAUGCUGAUAUGAGUUCUUGUCUUUCUUAUAAAGAAGCUACAAUGAUGAACAAGCAAAUGAUGCUUAAAUUAUGUUGAACUGGCUUACAGAGGUUCUAAACUGACUUGAACAGUACGUUAUAGGAUGUGCGAUACCAUCUCUGGUAACCUCCAACUGCAACUAUUCCUUCUUCUUAUCCAGUUACUUGGAUUAAUCCCCCUGUUGGAACUUUUAAACUCAACUUUAAUAUUGCCACCGAUACUAGAAUAAUAUAGGAGCCACAGCAGUCAUAGUUCGAGAUUCUUCUGGCAAAGUGAUUCAAUUGAGUUGUAGGCUCUGGCUAGCUCAAUGUGAUCCACUUAUUCUUGAAAGUUUGGCCUGCCAAGAAGCUGUUCUAUUAGCUCACAGAAUUGAUAUCUCACGACCCCAGAUUGAAGGGGACUCUUCUGUGGUUAUCAAUUCACUGUUGGGUGAUCCUAUUCCCUUGGCUAUCCAAAUAAUCGUCCAUGGUAUCACUGUUCUUUCUAGGUCUAUACAGAGUAUUGUUUUUAUCUUGUGAAGAGAGAGGCUAAUGUUAGUGCUCACAGCCUUGCUAGAAAGUUUAUAUCGGACCCUGCGUUCCGAGUUAACGCUCUUUUGCAAUUUGAUUUCAUCUGUAAUUCCUUAUUA